UACGGAGGGGGCUAGCGUUGUUCGGAAUUACUGGGCGUAAAGCGCACGUAGGCGGACUGUUAAGUCGGGGGUGAAAUCCCGGGGCUCAACCCCGGAACUGCCCUCGAUACUGGCAGUCUAGAGGAAGGUAGAGGCUAGUGGAAUGGCGAGUGUAGAGGUGAAAUUCGUAGAUAUUCGCCGGAACACCAGUGGCCAAGGCGACUGGCUGGACCUUUUCUGACGCUGAGGUGCGAAAGCGUGGGGAGCAAACAGG
rnacentral:rRNA from 1 species